ACACUGAAGGAAGGACACUGACACUUGGAGACCAUUCACUUCUGCUGGGAGGAGUAGUUGAGCUCUUACUGCAUUCUGCCUGUCUGAAGUUCAGGGACCAUAUCUUUGCCAGGCUGGGGCAUGUGUGCAUGAGUGUAUACAUUGAGCGACUUGAGUUUUGCCCUCCCUGAAUGUGACAGUGCCACUGAGGGAACUGAACAACUAUAAAGCCCUAGAUGGAUUAAUGGAGGUCGUUCAGACUUCACCAGAAAUAGACUGCAUCCUCUGGGCAAUUGUGUCCUGGCCAGUGAAUAGCACAGGCUGCUGGAGCUGAGUUGGACCCCCUUCUGAUCCUGGAGGGAGCCCCACUCCACCUUCCUAUGAAGUCAGUUUCCUUCCUCUCAGGGUAGCUGCUGGCUCCGAUAACCUGCGUGUGCCUCCCUGGAACUUGCUGUAAGCUGGAUAUCAGUUUCACAUGUUUGGUCUGCGGGACGUAAGAAGGAAGUGGACCUCCUGGAUAUCGGCACAUCAGAAUCACUAUGGAGUGAUUCCUGAAUAUGUCUGGGCCUGCGCCAGGAGCCGUGUGACAAUCCUGCCUGGUCAGCCACAAAGUUACAAUGCUUCCUUCCUGGGUAACCUGCCGCCAGGAGCACAUGGCACAGUAAGGCUUGGAAGAAGGUGAAGCAAGGAAAUCACCAGGCGUUCUUCACUGUUUACCUCUCACUCAAUGUUAUGACAAUUUUGGCGUGCUGGCUACUUCGUAUUUCUGUUUAUGAAAAGAGGAAGUCUGAUUCUGCCAAACAGGAAGAGUCCUAAUUGUGUUAUUGGUGGAGGGUCUUGACUGCAGCAUGUCCCGGUUCUUGGCGUUCUGAACAAAGAACUGGACGAAAGAAACAAAGCAACCAAAGAACGAAGCAACAAGAGCACAGACUUGUGGAAACGAAAGUAUACCCCACAGAGUGGGAGUACGCGCACCAGCAGCUCCAGAGUGCUGGUUACAGAAUGUUCUGGGGUUUACAUACCCUUUAGAGGUUUCCCAGUAGUUAGUUGGUUUACAGCCUAUGUAAAUGAAGGAGUGGCGCACAACCAGUCUAAUGGGUUGUGGAAGGUGACCAGUCAGAGACUGAAGUGAAGUUAUGAAGUAAUACCCUAUGCAGAUGUCUGAUUGGUUGCAGGAGGGGGACCAAGCAGAGGUACUGGCCAUUUCUCAUCUGCGAUGCAGAAAGCGGUGGGGCUUGCAAAGGGAGCAGCCUCUGUUCUUUUGUUACUUAAGCGUGGAAAGUUGGAGUUUUCAUUUUGAUUCAUUUCUAGGAAGUCAGCACAAAUUGGCCUUAGGUUUCCUGCCUCCAGACCCUAUUCUCCAGCCUCAAUUGCAUCUCAUCAAUGUCAUUUUCAUUUUUGAUGAUGAAAGCUGGUUAACUUGUGGAGAGAGAAGUCAUAGGGAGGUCAUGUCCAUGGAGCAUGGGCUUAAAUGGACCUAUUUAUUGAAGUCUCCAGAUCUGUUUGGAACUUCGAAAUUAUUCAAGAAAAGGUGUCUCAUCAGCAGAAGACUGAGCAAUUUUACCUCAUGGUAUCUUGAGUAGAAAUGUAACCUAGAAGAGUUUGUUGAAAAUCCUCCUGGCUGAUGGUCAUUUCUUGGAAUCCUGAGUCUUACACUUGCUACCUAAUAAAGAAGGCAGAUUCUUCUCA
ensembl:lncRNA